GCACUUUAAGUUGGGAGGAAGGGCAGUAAGUUAAUACCUUGCUGUUUUGACGUUACCGACAGAAUAAGCACCGGCUAACUUCGUGCCAGCAGCCGCGGUAAUACGAAGGGUGCAAGCGUUAAUCGGAAUUACUGGGCGUAAAGCGCGCGUAGGUGGUUCGUUAAGUUGGAUGUGAAAGCCCCGGGCUCAACCUGGGAACUGCAUCCAAAACUGGCGAGCUAGAGUACGGUAGAGGGUGGUGGAAUUUCCUGUGUAGCGGUGAAAUGCGUAGAUAUAGGAAGGAACACCAGUGGCGAAGGCGACCACCUGGACUGAUACUGACACUGAGGUGCGAAAGCGUGGGGAGCAAACAGGAUUAGA
rnacentral:rRNA from 1 species